rnacentral:rRNA from 1 species
UGGAUCCAGACUUUGAUCCUGGCUCAGGACGAACGCUGGCGGCGCGCCUAACACAUGCAAGUCGAACGAGCGAGAGAGAGCUUGCUUUCUCGAGCGAGUGGCGAACGGGUGAGUAACGCGUGAGGAACCUGCCUCAAAGAGGGGGACAACAGUUGGAAACGACUGCUAAUACCGCAUAAGCCCACGACCCGGCAUCGGGUAGAGGGAAAAGGAGCAAUCCGCUUUGAGAUGGCCUCGCGUCCGAUUAGCUAGUUGGUGAGGUAACGGCCCACCAAGGCGACGAUCGGUAGCCGGACUGAGAGGUUGAACGGCCACAUUGGGACUGAGACACGGCCCAGACUCCUACGGGAGGCAGCAGUGGGGAAUAUUGCACAAUGGGGGAAACCCUGAUGCAGCGACGCCGCGUGGAGGAAGAAGGUCUUCGGAUUGUAAACUCCUGUUGUUGAGGAAGAUAAUGACGGUACUCAACAAGGAAGUGACGGCUAACUACGUGCCAGCAGCCGCGGUAAAACGUAGGUCACAAGCGUUGUCCGGAA